UACGGAGGGGGCGAGCGUUAUUCGGAAUUACUGGGCGUAAAGCGUGCGCAGGCGGUUUUGUAAGUUUGUCGUGAAAUCCCCGGGCUCAACCUGGGAAUGGCGAUGAAGACUGCAAGGCUAGAGUUUGGCAGAGGGGGGUAGAAUUCCACGUGUAGCAGUGAAAUGCGUAGAUAUGUGGAGGAACACCGAUGGCGAAGGCAGCCCCCUGGGUCAAAACUGACGCUCAUGCACGAAAGCGUGGGGAGCAAACAGG
rnacentral:rRNA from 1 species